UACAGAGGGGGCAAGCGUUGUUCGGAAUUACUGGGCGUAAAGGGCGCGUAGGCGGCCUGUUAAGUCGAACGUGAAAUCCCUGGGCUCAACCCAGGAACUGCGUCCGAGACUGGCAGGCUUGAAUCCGGGAGAGGGAUGUGGAAUUCCAGGUGUAGCGGUGAAAUGCGUAGAUAUCUGGAGGAAUACCGGUGGCGAAGGCGGCAUCCUGGACCAUUACUGACGCUGAGGCGCGAAAGCUAGGGGAGCAAACGGG
rnacentral:rRNA from 1 species